UCAAGAGAAAGAGAAAGGAUUGGCCUCCCUCUUCUUGCACACAUUUCUCACCCAAAAACACCUUGCAUGUAUACACCCUACACACCUACAUAAGAGGAGAGUAAUUAGGAAGUGUAGAGCCAUAAAAUCUUGAGGUUUGGAGGGCAUAAGGGCCGGCUAAAACAAUGAUACAGAGGAGAAGAAAAAUGAAAAAGAAGAAGAAGAAAACCAGUAAGAAAACACCCUCAAUCUUUGGAUAAAAUCGUGAGGAGGAGUGACAAGGAUUGGAUUUUCUAUUGGAGGAGGUCACGAGAUAGGCAAAGCAAGGUCAUCUAAUACCCAGGAGCUCAUUAGUUUUUUAGGACUCUGUUUUCUUAAACUUGUGUACAAAUUAAACUUAAGUAUAAUAGUAUUAGCUAGAAUAUGCAGUAUGCUAUUUUGUGUAAACUUUAAUGUAUAUAAAACUCUUAGCUAGACUUGA